CGAUACAUUAAUUUUCUUAAAGCAAUGCAUGUCAGUUGAAGCAUACAUAAUCUGAACAGUUUUAUUGUAGGAAUACUCAUUGUGCACGCUCAAAAGAAUGAACAAAACAGAUGGAAGGUGGAAGAUGUACCAUCAGAAACCUCCACGGACUGGCAGUAUGUCACUUCCCAUAAUGUCACAUCCUGUCUAGCCAGGACACUAAAAGGAGUUAAAUAGUCUCAAAAACCCAUCAACAUGGGGAACUAAGAGGUAGAGAUUUAGGAAAAAACUCUGGACGUGAUCUAGGCAAAAAAAUAAACAUACACAGAAACCCACAGAGCAGUGUAUUAUUACAAAAGCUCUAAAAAUUGGGGAAACUGUAAUACUAAAAGCAGUCUAAGAACAAAAGAAAGCAGAUAAUGACGUGGCAGCACACAAACUAACAUCCUAGGGGAAGAAUUCCUCAGCACUCCUAAAACUGCAUCUGGAAUACCAUAAAAUAACAACAACAACCAUGAGGGGUUUUUUGGGGGGGAGGGCAGAGCAGGAAGACAAAUGAGAGAAUUUCAAGAGGUUACAAAAAAGGCAUAAUUUAGAAGAGAGGAUUCGCAAGCCAGGGAGAAACAUCCAAAAAUUGGCUACUUGGGGGUUGUUUUGUUUUGUCUUUUUAAGUCAUUAAUAAGGUGAAGCCAUUAGCUCAAGUAGAUUUAGUUAGUGAGAAGUCCACAUGUCAGGUUAGCUAUGAAAAGUCAUCCAGGAUAUUUCCCUAAAAUGCACAUGGCUCCAAUCUGACACGAGUUUAAGGGCAGACUUUUUACAAGUAUGCACUAGAUUUGAGAGCGACACUUCUAGCAGGAGAUACUCGAGUUCAGCCCUUAAGCAAUUACAUGGAACUGUUACAAGUCAACAGUAAGUGGUUUAUAAAAUGUAAUUUUAUUUAAUGUUACUUUGCUGUUACAGAGGGCAUAACAUUUUCACAAGGCUUUUUUGGGACUACAAUCAAUGAUUAGCAACACACAAUAGUGGUCCGAACUCUCUAAAUAACAAUCACUGGACAAACUUGACACCUUCUCACAUGUGCACAAACCUGCAUGGAAAAGUACUAAAUUUUAUACUUGGACAUGUGAACUUCAAUUGGUUUUCCCAUUCCAGUGUAUUAAGAAAUGACAUGCACUUUAGUCUGCCAAAAAGCACUGCCUGUACUCCGGCAGUAACAUGCUGCUUCUAAUACAUAGUAAAGUGAAUACCAGAACUACAAAGGCAGGAGUGUAAGUGAACUUUUAUUGGGAAGGGAUAUAAACUUAAACAGCAGCAACUGAAGAUUAAGAGUAGCCCCUGUUUUCAAACACACGAGCUCCUGUCUUACAUUAUACAGGAAGCAAUUCAAUUUGUAAAUUUUCAAGCUAGAAAUGCUCAACUUGAUCUGGACCAAUACUUCCAUCUCUCUACUGAAAAAUACACAGUAGCAUGUGAAAGUCAAUUGUGGAAAGGAAAACCUGCAGAGUAAGGAGGGAAUGUGGAGAAUUAAAAGCUAUGUGGAACACUCUUUAGUUGCAAUUACCUACAUUUUCAUACCUUACUGUAAUAUAAAACACAGUCAACUGGCAGGAACUGGUUCAGAUUUGUUUUUAAAUACCAGGUACACUUUAGUCCGCUACAUAAGUGUUUGGAAGUUACUUAUGUUUAUAUGAAAUGAAGCUAUUAAUACUUUUCUACAGCAGUAACCGCACACCAGGAAGGCCAGGACAAACACAAAUCAAGGAAUGGAGUUUUCCCAAAGCUGCAGUGUGAAAAGACUAUAAAUUGAUUUCCAUACACAUGGAUGGGUUUUCUUUGCUAUAGGAAAUCCAAGUGGAGCUAUAAGGAAUGGAGACGUGUAAAAAGGUUUCUUGAGAAGGAAAGGGAGAAUGACACCCCAUGUGCAGUUUAGUUUUCUGCACCUUCUGCAGCAUCACAUUCUUCUCCUGCACUGUCUGAUGUCCAUAAUGUUAGGUUGUCUCUAAGUAACUGCAUGAUGAGAGUACUGUCUUUGUAUGAGUCUUCGUUCAGUGUAUCAAGUUCUGCAAUGGCCUCAUCAAACGCUGUCUUGGCCAGUGUGCAGGCAAGCUCAGGAUUGUUGAGAAUCUCAUAAUAAAAUACAGAGAAGUUAAGAGCUAGACCCAAGCGAAUCGGAUGUGUUGGCUGCAUCUCCUUCUUGCUGAUAUCGAAUGCCUCCUGAUAAGCUCCCUGUGAGUUUUCUAUUGUCUGUUUUCUGUCAUCACCACAGGCAACUUCAGCAAGGUAUCGGAAGUAGUCUCCCUUCAUCUUCAGGUAGAAUACCUUGCUCUCCGGAUUAGUUGCGUUAGCUAUUAAAUAUUUGUCCAACAGCUCCAGCACAGUGGUGCAGAUGGACCUGAGCUCAGACUCCACCUUCUCCCUAUAGUCCUUGAUAAGCUGCAUCUUCUUGUCGCUGGUGUCUGUCUUUUGCUCGAUGCUGGAGAUAACCCUCCAGGCAGAGCGUCGCCCCCCCACCACAUUCUUGUAGGCCACCGAGAGCAGGUUGCGCUCCUCGUUGGACAGCUCGGCCCCCUGCUCCGUCACCGCCUUCAUGCAGGUGGCCAUGUCGUCGUAGCGCUCGGCCUGCUCCGCCAGCUUGGCUUUCUGGAUCAACUCGGUCUUAUCCAUGGUGGCCGGCGGCGGGGCGAGGGCAGUGUCGUAGCAAAGGCAGGAGAAGCUGGGGACGUCACGCUGCCAGCAACAGAACGCGCCUCAGAGCCUGAGUCCGCUGCGCUAGGCCGGGCCGCGGGCGGCACCCGAUCGGCUGCGCCUCGCUCGGGGCUGUGGCGGAGAGAAAGAGCCGCUCCCGUCGCGGGCGAGAGCCAGCGCUAAAGGGCGUUGGCACAGGCAAGCCUACCCGCUGCUCAGCCCGCGCCCACGCGGCCAAUCGCGUCCUCUCCUGCGAGCUCGGCCCCGCCCCCCCGCGCCCCGACAGCCAAUCCGAGGACAGCGCGCCGCCGCGGGGGCGAGCGCAGGCAGGGCACAAGCUCGGUUGGCCCGUGGGCUGCGGCUGGGGCCACGGGGUUUCCUCCAAUUAGAUCCAGGGUGAGAUGACGUCACUGUCGCCAUGGCGAUACUGCUACAACCCCCACCCCCCCCCCUCUGCUCCCCCCGCCCUCCCCCGGCAGCCCGGGCCCGGCCCCGGCGCGGGAGCGGGCGGGGGCGGCGAGAGGGGGCCGGAGGCGGCCCGUGCGGGGGGUGCCCGUGCUGAGGCGGGGGGGGGGGAGUCGGGCCCCGCCGCGCCCUCUGCGCUGUGGCGCCGGAGGGCUGUGCAGGGCGGGCUCGGUGCGAGGGGCCGGGGCCGAGGGGCCGGGGGCGAGUGCUGCGUCUCCAACAAAGGGCGGCUGUGGGAGGACAAAGUGCGUGGUCCCGAGGCCGGGCGCGAGGCGGGCUGCCCGGCGCCCUCUCGGCGCGUUCGCUCCGCGCAGGAAUGCCGCCUUUGUGUCGGCGGCCGCCGCUCGGCCGUGCGUUUCCCAGCGAGAGAUUUCCGAGGGGCGCUGGCAGAUGCCCGCGGCCGAGCUGUGCCCCACGAGCCCGGUGACAGGAAAUUGCUCGCCAAGAGUUAAUGGCGCUGUGCCGUGGGGCCCCGGGCAGGGAGAGACCGGCGCUGACAUCAGCGACGAUCGAUAUAUAUUUACUUUUUUCCACCCCCAUCCCGAUUUCACCUGGAGUUAAUUUGCAGGAGGUCGUAGAUGCGGUGCACCCAGGCAGGAAUUUCAGGCUCGUGCUGCUAUUACACACAAACAAUCAAAUCAUGUCCGUCCAUCGUGAGCCGGCCGUUGUGUGCACCUCCAGAAGCUGCCUGGAUCCCAGGGGGAAUGGGACCGGGACAGGGCGGCCUCGUGUCUGUGUCACUGCGCCCAGGGGCGCACCGAAGCCCUGUGGUCCGCCAGGCCUCGGGCUCACACGUCCCUCCGAGCAGCACACCGUGUCCGUGAAGCAGUGAAAUCCCUCACCUUUGCGUUCAGCAUCACCAAAUUUAGUCAUGUCCAGCAGCUCCAGCAUCCUGACGGGAUGAUGAAUGCGCUGAAUCACCUCAGGAUGUUGUCGUCUCAGCUCGGGGCGCUCCUGUCUGGGUUUGGAUAGGGCUGCGGCGAUGCACGUGGGCAUGAGGGCUGCGCUGUUAACCAACGCUGAUGGUCAUUUGAGUGGGGGAUGCAUUUAUUCUGUUAUAAAAAAGGGCCUAUUGAUAAUACUCCUUUUGAAGUUAAUGAAGCUCUUUCAGAAAGAAUUAUGGGAAUGUAUUACUCUCUCUCAGAAAUAACUGUCCUGGCAAUUUCCUACGGUUUCAGUUUGCCUUUUGAUUCUUUCUUGACAGUAGGAUAUUCUCUUGUUUUCACCAAGUCCCAAAUCAUCCCCUUAAUUUACACGUGAAGGAACAACCAGAACUGACCAAUUGUGCUACAAAACCUGUGACUGAUAUCUUGUCUCCAUCAGAGACAAAACUAACAAUUUCACCUGUAAGGCACGGAUUUUACUUAGGGAAGGAUGGGUGAUCUAAUCAAGGCUACCUCCCUCACUGACUCCCCUCAAAAAUUGGAAUGGUGAUACAAUUAGUCUCUCACACAACAUAGCUCGUACCUCCUUCCCACCUACCGAGAACUUGCAGGAAGAGGGGAGAUUUAGAUUGGGAAUAAGGAAAGAGGUUUUUAUACAAUAAGAGGAGCGAGUCACUGGCACAGGUUGCCCAGAGGGGUGGUGGAUGCCCCAUCCCUGGAGACACCCGAGGUCAGGCUGGACAGAGCUCUGAGCACCUGAUGGAGCUGUGGGUGUCCCUGUUCAUUGCAGGAGAGCUGGACCAGGUGACCUUUAAGGGUCCCUUCUAACCGAAAUGAUUCUAUGACUAAGAACUGUAG
rnacentral:lncRNA from 1 species